UUGGUGGUCGCUAGGAGAGACGCACAGUCGCACAGUCGUUCGAUACGGACGCGCUGAAACAUUCCCCAACUAACCAUAGUGCACGAUUUUAGUCGCCGUGAUUUAAAAAAAUUGAUUAGUGUUUGACAUUUUUUUGUUUUGCUGUGUAUAUAAAAUCACAAUGACGUCGCCGGCCAUCACAAAGUCGCCUGACAACCAGAAGGGAACCAAAUCCCCGACGCACUCCGCGGGGGCCGCUGCCGCCGAGCGGCCGGCGUCGCGCGCCGAGUCGGCUUCCACCUCCGCCGCGCCACCACCGGCCGAGCCCUUCAGCUGGCUGCGAAUCUUUAAACUGGCAGACCUUAUGAUGAAACAGGGCUGCUAGACAAUACUUUACUGUAGUUUCUUUCCUUUCUAACUUAUCAUCGGGGAGAAUAAUUCAAUAUGAUGCAUCAAUUCAUUCCAGUGUAUCAAAAUAGUACCUACCUACGGAUUCGGGAUUAGGCUACCAGGUCAGUAUAUCACCUAACUACCUAUCAAUUAAAUAGCAAUAAAUGUAGGAAGUAGGUAUAUCAUUAGCACGAAGAGGUUUCUCAGCUUCCAUAAUAAUUUCAGCAUCUUUGUUAAUGAAUAAUUAAAUAGGUAUCGUUACUUCCUUGGGUAGGUACGCAGACCGCACGCAAUUAUAAUUAUACCUAGGUACAUUAAUGGAUGUGUUUUAAAUACAAGGACUUUUUUGUUUCAUAUGAUGUGGCUAGUCCUUUUAGAUAUAUAGGUUCAUCGCGCAAUUAUGUAGCGUAAACGGAAUAAUAGUUUUUAAGAAUGUGAAACUUAUUCUUUCAAAAUUCUCGAAUUACUUACCUAUUAAUGUUAGCUUUUAUGUUAGACGCUAAUUUUAACCUCGUGGGUAUAGGUACAUAUGGCACAUCAAAAUUAAUAACAUACCUACUCUUUGGUUUUUAACUUUUGAUUGUGUUUCUGUUGUUCAUACUUAAUUACUAUUCAUUUAUAUGUAUGUAUUAUAGACAUUAUAUUAGUGUACCUAAUAGAAAGAAAGGAUUAAAGAGUCUGUUUAAGCUACCUCUGCACAGACUUAAGUGACAAAACUGUGGAAGUAAAAAUGCCAUUAUGAACGUCAUAUUUUCAUAGGAAUUUGAUGUCUGUUGUGGCGCUUCCACAUCUGUCGCUUGCCAAACCAGUGCAGAGUUAGCUUGGACUGACUAGCAGUAAGUCCCUGUGUUUGUUAAUUAAAUUAAUAUUUAUACAUUUAUUUAUACUGUCAUUAUUAUACCACUGAAACAUGUUACGAAAUCAAUUGUUUACAUUAGAAUCGUUAAAGAUUGUUCUAAAUAAAUUACUCAAAGUUG